UAGGGAAUCUUCCACAAUGGACGCAAGUCUGAUGGAGCAACGCCGCGUGAGUGAAGAAGGUUUUCGGAUCGUAAAGCUCUGUUGUUGGUGAAGAAGGAUAGAGGCAGUAACUGGUCUUUAUUUGACGGUAAUCAACCAGAAAGUCACGGCUAACUACGUGCCAGCAGCCGCGGUAAUACGUAGGUGGCAAGCGUUGUCCGGAUUUAUUGGGCGUAAAGCGAGCGCAGGCGGAAUGAUAAGUCUGAUGUGAAAGCCCACGGCUCAACCGUGGAACUGCAUCGGAAACUGUCAUUCUUGAGUGCAGAAGAGGAGAGUGGACUUCCAUGUGUAGCGGUGGAAUACGUAGAUAUAUGGAAGAACAGCAGUGGCGAAGGCGGCUCUCUGGUCUGCAACUGACGCUGAGGCUCGAAAGCAUGGGUAGCGAACAGG
rnacentral:rRNA from 1 species